UUCCGGUUGAUCCCGCCGGACCUGACUGCUAUCGGAUUGAUACUAAGCCAUGCGAGUCUUUGCAGUAAUGCAAGGCAUACGGCUCAGUAACACGUAGUCAACUUACCCUAUGGACGAGGAUAAUCUCGGGAAACUGAGCAUAAUACUCGAUAGAUCAUAAUGCCUGGAAUGGUUUAUGGUUAAAAUGAUUCGUCGCCAUAGGAUGGGACUGCGGCCUAUCAGCUUGUUGGUGAGGUAAUGGCCCACCAAGGCGAUUACAGGUACGGGCUCUGAGAGGAGAAGCCCGGAGAUGGGUACUGAGACAAGGACCCAGGCCCUAUGGGGCGCAGCAGGCGAGAAAACUUUGCAAUGUGCGAAAGCACGACAAGGUUAAUCCGAGUGAUUUCUGCUAAAGAAAUCUUUUGCAAGUCAUAAAACCACUAGUGAAUAAGGGGUGGGCAAGUUCUGGUGUCAGCCGCCGCGGUAAAACCAGCACCUCAAGUGGUCAGGAUGAUUAUUGGGCCUAAAGCAUCCGUAGCCGGCUCUGUAAGUUUUCGGUUAAAUCUAUACGCUCAACGUAUGGGCUGCCGAAAAUACUGUAGAGAUAGGGAGUGGGAGAGGUAGACGGUACUCGGUAGGAAGGGGUAAAAUCCUUUGAUCUAUCGAUGACCACCUGUGGCGAAGGCGGUCUACCAGAACACGUUCGACGGUGAGGGAUGAAAGCUGGGGGAGCAAACCGGAUUAGAUACCCGGGUAGUCCCAGCUGUAAACGAUGCAGACUCGAUGAUGCAUUGGCAUAUAGCCAGUGCAGUGUCGCAGGGAAGCCGUUAAGUCUGCCGCCUGGGAAGUACGUACGCAAGUAUGAAACUUAAAGGAAUUGGCGGGGGAGCACCACAAGGGGUGAAGCCUGCGGUUCAAUUGGAGUCAACGCCGGG
rnacentral:rRNA from 1 species